GAUGAAGAACUUAGCGAAAUGCGAUAAGUAGUGUGAAUUGCAGAAUUCAGUGAAUCAUCGAAUCUUUGAACGCACAUUGCGCCCCCUGGUAUUCCGGGGGGCAUGCCUGUCCGAGCGUCAUUGCUGCCCUCAAGCACGGCUUGUGUGUUGGGCCUCCGUCCUCCUCCCGGGGGACGGGCCCGAAAGGCAGCGGCGGCACCGCGUCCGGUCCUCGAGCGUAUGGGGCUUCGUCACCCGCUCUUGUAGGCCCGGCCGGCGCUUGCCGACACAUCAAUCUUUUUUCCAGGUUGACCUCGGAUCAGGUAGGGAUACCCGCUGAACUUAAGCAUAUCAAUAAGCGGAGGA
rnacentral:misc_RNA from 1 species